GGAUUAGGCAUGCAAGUCGAACGAGGAAGUGCCCCGUAAGGGGCGCAAGCCUAGUGGCGAAAGGGUGAGUAAUGCAUUGAUAACCUGCCUUUGAGAUGGGAAUAACUGCGUUUCGAGCAAUCGGAACUACCGAAAGGGCUGCUAAUACCCAAUAAUACUAUAGGUGCAAAAGCACUUGUGGUCAAAUGCUAGGAAUUCUGUUCCUUGUGCUUAAAGAGGGGUUAAUGUCCUAUCAGCUAGUUGGUGGGGUAAUGGCCUACCAAGGCAAAGACGGGUAGCCGGCUUGAGAGGGUGGUCGGCCACACUGGGACUGAGACACUGCCCAGACUCCUACGGGAGGCUGCAGUCGAGAAUCUUUCGCAAUGCCCGAAAGGGUGACGAAGCGACGCCGCGUGUGGGAAGAAGGCCUUCGGGUUGUAAACCACUGUCGGGAGUUAGGAAAUGCAGGUGCGUUAAUAGCGCACUUGCUUGACUAAGGCUCCAGAGGAAGCCACGGCUAACUCUGUGCCAGCAGCCGCGGUAAUACAGAGGCGGCAAGCGUUGUUCGGAAUUAUUGGGCGUAAAGAGCACGUAGGCGGCCGUGCAAGUCGGUUGUGAAAGCCUUCCGCUCAACGGAAGAAGGGCAUCCGAUACUGCAUAGCUUGAGUGCGGGAGGGGAGAGUGGAACUUCUGGUGGAGCGGUGAAAUGCGUAGAUAUCAGAAGGAACACCGGCGGCGAAGGCGACUCUCUGGUCCGUAACUGACGCUGAGUGUGCGAAAGCUAGGGGAGCAAACGGGAUUAGAUACCCCGGUAGUCCUAGCCGUAAACGAUGGGCACUAAGUAGAGGGGUUUU
rnacentral:rRNA from 1 species